UACGGGGGGAGCAAGCGUUGUUCGGAUUUACUGGGCGUAAAGGGCGCGUAGGCGGCCAGCACAAGUCAGUUGUGAAAUCUCCGAGCUUAACUCGGAAAGGUCAACUGAUACUGUGCGGCUGGAGUGCAGAAGGGGCAACUGGAAUUCUUGGUGUAGCGGUGAAAUGCGUAGAUAUCGUAAGGAAGACCAGUGGCGAAGGCGGGUCUCUGGACAGUUCCUGACGCUGAGGCACGAAGGUCAGGGGAGCAAACGGG
rnacentral:rRNA from 1 species